UUAUCAGCAUGAAAACAUCCUCAGAAUCACUGCUAUUUCCACAUUCUAGAGAGCGGAAUCGGAGUAGAAGACAGUUGUCAGUAGAAUCUCAGUGGAACUCAGAACAUAAUUGAUGUCAGGAAUCUGUCAACUCAAACAUUCACUGAAGGCCUACUAUGCAUAAGGAAUUGCGCAAGACCCCAGAGGAGGUUGAGUGACAAACUACUGAAAGAAAUGAGGAUUAUGUUACUUGGUGGAGGAAAAGAGAACUUCAGAGGAGAUACGAGAACUGUCUAAAAAAAAAAAACACAUGAAGGGCUUCCUGGCAGAAACAGAUUUGAUUUAUCCUCAGAGGCUCCAGAAGGCAGAGUUUAAUCAACUAGUUCAAUUCCUGAGAGGCUGAUUUUGGCUAAAAGAAGGAUGAAUUUUCUGAUAUAACUAUCCAGUAACAGUGAGGUAGCAAGUUCCUUCUCACCGAAUGUGUCAAACAAGGUUUGGGGGUGCUGUGGAGGGAUUCACAGGUCAAACAUACAAGAAAUCAGACCAGGCUGGGUGCGGUGGCUCACGCCUGUAAUCCCAGCACUUUGGGAGGCGGAGGCGUGUGGAUCACGAGAUAAAAGAUAAUGCCUGGACAUGCAGACUUCCCAUAAAUCCCACUGGUGUGGAGAACCCUUAAACACAGCCAGUUCAUAAGGAGA
rnacentral:lncRNA from 1 species